rnacentral:rRNA from 1 species
UACGGAGGGUGCAAGCGUUAUCCGGAUUCACUGGGUUUAAAGGGUGCGUAGGUGGGUCUGUAAGUCCGUGGUGAAAUCUCCAAGCUUAACUUGGAAACUGCCAUGGAUACUAUAGGUCUUGAAUACCGUGGAGGUGAGCGGAAUAUGUCAUGUAGCGGUGAAAUGCUUAGAUGUGACAUAGAACACCAAUUGCGAAGGCAGCUCACUACACGAAUAUUGACACUGAGGCACGAAAGCGUGGGGAUCAAACAGG